UACGAAGGGGGCUAGCGUUGCUCGGAAUCACUGGGCGUAAAGCGCACGUAGGCGGCUUUCUAAGUCAGGGGUGAAAUCCUGGAGCUCAACUCCAGAACUGCCUUUGAUACUGGAGAGCUCGAGUCCGGAAGAGGUGAGUGGAACUCCGAGUGUAGAGGUGAAAUUCGUAGAUAUUCGGAAGAACACCAGUGGCGAAGGCGGCUCACUGGUCCGGUACUGACGCUGAUGUGCGAAAGCGUGGGAGCAACAGG
rnacentral:rRNA from 1 species